rnacentral:rRNA from 1 species
UACGAAGGGGGCUAGCGUUGCUCGGAAUCACUGGGCGUAAAGGGUGCGUGAGGCGGGUCUUUAAGUCGAGGGUGAAAUCCUGGAGCUCAACUCCAGAACUGCCUUUGAUACUGAGGAUCUUGAGUUCGGGAGAGGUGAGUGGAACUGCGAGUGUAGAGGUGAAAUUCGUAGAUAUCGGGAGGAACACCGGUGGCGAAGGCGGCGAUCUGGGUAGAUACUGACGCUGAGGUGCGAAAGCGUGGGGAGCAA